UAGCGGCGGACGGGUGAGUAAUGCGUAGGAAGCUGCCCGAUAGAGGGGGAUACCAGUUGGAAACGACUGUUAAUACCGCAUAAUGUCUACGGACCAAAGUAUGGGACCUUCGGGCCAUAUGCUAUCGGAUGCGCCUACGUGGGAUUAGCUAGUUGGUGUGGUAAUGGCGCACCAAGGCGACGAUCCCUAGCUGGUUUGAGAGGAUGAUCAGCCACACUGGGACUGAGACACGGCCCAGACUCCUACGGGAGGCAGCAGUGGGGAAUAUUGGACAAUGGGCGCAAGCCUGAUCCAGCCAUGCCGCGUGUGUGAAGAAGGCCUUCGGGUUGUAAAGCACUUUCAGCGAGGAGGAAGGGUGUUGUGUUAAUAGCACAGCAUUUUGACGUUACUCGCAGAAGAAGCACCGGCUAACUCCGUGCCAGCAGCCGCGGUAAUACGGAGGGUGCGAGCGUUAAUCGGAAUUACUGGGCGUAAAGCGCACGCAGGCGGCUUUUUAAGUCGGAUGUGAAAGCCCCGGGCUCAACCUGGGAAUUGCAUUCGAUACUGGAAAGCUAGAGUAUGUGAGAGGGGGGGUAGAAUUCCAAGUGUAGCGGUGAAAUGCGUAGAGAUUUGGAGGAAUACCAGUGGCGAAGGCGGCCCCCUGGCACACUACUGACGCUCAGUGCGAAAGCGUGGGGAGCAAACAGGA
rnacentral:rRNA from 1 species